AACAGAAUAAUAUUAUAUGAUUGAGAGAGACAUAAGAAGAACAGAACAGGCUAUAACUGAAGAGGAUAGACAGUAACAAACAAGAACCCGAGACAGCCACAGACAAGACAGAAAAAGUGACAGAAGAGAUGGAGAGAGAACAGAGGACAACCCAGGGCAAUGAAACUGAUUCCAGAGGCCGACCCAAAACAACUUAGGAGGCACGCACACCAUCCACAGCUUUUUUUGUAUUUUUUAUUAACCAGAGAUCUGUGAAACCCUGUAUGCAGAUGAAGAGGUCCCAAUGAACGUCCCAAGAGAAUAAGAGUACAUCUUUUUAUACCAUGGGUUAUACACUGAGUGUACAAAACAUUAGGAACACAUUCGAAAGCAUUCAACAGGGAUACUGGCCCAUGUUGACUCCAAUACUUCCCACAGUUGUACGCCUGUCACCUACUACCACACUCUGUUCAA